UGUCCCCUUAGUAUCUUCCACUUAUAUCGAAACCAUUGGUACAUUGUAUGCCCAAAGGCAUUUACCAAUUAUCUUUCUUUCUUUUUUUUUUUGGGGGGGAGCUUUUUUUUCCCUCGGUCUGCUUAACCGAAAAUAAACUAUUUUUUUUCAAUAACAUACAGGAACAUGUUUUCUUCUAAACCCAAUGUUGCAUUUUUUCCC
rnacentral:lncRNA from 1 species